GAAACCUGAGGUGAGAACAGCCUCCUCACACACGGCCCUGCCGCUGAGCGCUCGUUGAGUGGCAGGCAGUAGAGUAUCCUCCCACAAAGAGGUGAAGAGAUCCGGGGGUGGGCAGCCCGGCAGGUACC
rnacentral:ncRNA from 1 species